GUGCUCACUUUGGCAGCACAUAUACUAAAAUUGGAAUGAUACAGAGAAGAUUAGCACGACCCCUGCGCAAGGAUGACACAUAAAUUCAUGAAGCAUUCCAUAUUUAA
ensembl:snRNA U6 U6 spliceosomal RNA